AAUGGGCGCAAGCCUUAUCCAGCCAUGCCGCGUGCGGGAAGAAGGCCUUCGGGUUGUAAACCGCUUUUGUCAGGGAAGAAAUCUCCUGGGAUAACACCUCGGGGGGAUGACGGUACCUGAAGAAUAAGCACCGGCUAACCACGUGCCAGCAGCCGCGGUAAUACGUAGGGUGCAAGCGUUAAUCGGAAUUACUGGGCGUAAAGCGUGCGCAGGUGGUUGUGAAAGACAGACGUGAAAUCCCCGGGCUUAACCUGGGAAUUGCGUUUGUGACUGCACGGCUAGAGUGCGGCAGAGGGGGAUGGAAUUCCGCGUGUAGCAGUGAAAUGCGUAGAUAUGCGGAGGAACACCGAUGGCGAAGGCAAUCCCCUGGGCCUGCACUGACACUCAUGCACGAAAGCGUGGGGAGCAAA
rnacentral:rRNA from 1 species